GAACCAAACUUGAAUUUACAGAAAAGGGGAAGACCAACCUCAGCACAAAAACAAAUAAACAAAGAAAACAAAAAACAAAGGGCAGUUCCAGGGGGGUAGUCUAGAAAGCAAGGUUAACCGUAACAUAAACCCUGAACUCUCGGUUGAUUAACCCAAACCUUGCUUACUCGGAGUAUGUCGGUUCCACAUCACCUAUAGGAGUAAGUUCAAUAAACAUCCUACUCGUAACUCGGAGUUAAUGCGCGUGCACGGCGGGUACUUAAAGACAUAAUGAGCUGCAUACUUCAGCGAAGCAGAGUUAGAGGCUUUAAUGCGUGCUUAUGAGGAAUGUAAGCCAUUUACAACAAUUUUUUUUUUUUUUUACUGCUGCAUCGGACAGAGAGUUGGCUUGGAAAAAAGUAACGCAUCAAUUGCUGAUAGACAUAUUGUAUUAACUGACCCUCCUGCAACAGCACAUCCUGCCACAGUUUUAAAGGAUUAUUGUCUUCAGGAGCUGUAGCCUAUAAGAUCCAUCUUCAAAUGCAAAAUAGAAAAAGUGACCUGUAGAUGAACCUUUACAACAUGAAAUGGAGGGAAAAAAGAAAACAAAGAAACAAUGAACCUCAACUCUUCACUUUGUGCACUAGGCAUUUAAUUAGAAAUGAUGUGGGCAGAUCACAUCAUCUAACACCCUGCACUCUCUUUGGUUCACUGGGGUUCCUCUUGCCAUCUUCACCGAUGGUUCAUCAUGGUUUAUGGCCAGGGAACUGCACACAAUCGUGUACUGGACUGGACUGUACUGUAUGAAUGGUUCUACACACCGGUGCCAUUUCCACACGCUCUGUAUCACGCACGUUAUAUACAGAAAUCUCCCUGUGGCAAAAAAAAGAAAUGAAGGGCAAUGCAUAAAAUGUGCUCGGUGUUAAGUGCUGAUCCACGAUGUGUCAUGUUGGUGAUGUGAGGUUUCAAAAUAUGAGAAAGAUUUGAUAUAAUCCGUGCUUCCUCGCUCACUGGAUCUUCUUCAAAAGGGCACGCCAUGUGCCGUCAGCUCUCUGAAACAAUCUAACCCUGGAACAGAACCUGCUCCGGACCAAUGUUAUGUUCAGAGAGGAAGUUGCUAUGGCAACUUACAUACCCUGAGAGUUACCUCCGUUUUUGGAACCGAAAGUUGAGGUUAUCCGUUAACUCUUGAGUAAAUGCACCCAGGUAAAUCGCACAUCCUGCUUUCAGAAUACCCACUGGUCCUUUAAAAACAGUAUUAACUGAAAGUGCAUUGUCCAGCCACAAGAUGGCGCCAGCUUCAAAGCACUGCUGGUACACCGGCAACAAAUGUACUUCCUGGUGUUCGCAUCUCAUUUGGCAAGCUAUUUAGACUACCACCGGUCUAAAAGUAAUAAAUUAGCUACUAAGGCGAAUAAAUUUGUAUUAAAGACACACAAUUGUAACACACAAACUGAAAUUUAAGCAAAGAUUUAUUUAUGAGGAGCUAUUGUUUUCCGUUGGUUUCACCUCAUGUGACCUUUAGCUCCAUAGCAUCUAUGUCCAUAUGUUAAUUGAAGAAAAACAACAAACACACAGUGUAGUCCAUUCCUGAGUUAUCAUGACUUUACCAUACUCCCUGUAGUGAAUAGGCUAUUCCUGUACAACUACAUUCACUAGCAAUACAUCUACUGAAUAAUGGGGUUUGCUAUACAUCUGUCUGUAUCGUGGGGUUCUCUAUACAUCUAUCUGUAUAGUGGGGUUCGCUAUACAUCUGUCUGUAUAGUGGGGUUUGCUAUACAUCUGUAUAGUGGGGUUCUCUAUACAUCUAUCUGUGUAGUGGGGUUCUCUAUACAUCUGUCUGUAUAGAGCGGUUCGCUAUACAUCUGUCUGUAUAGUGGGGUUUGCUAUACAUCUAUCUGUAUAGUGGAGGUCUCUA